UACGGAGGGUGCAAGCGUUGUCCGGAUUUAUUGGGUUUAAAGGGUGCGUAGGCGGCUGAUUAAGUCAGCGGUGAAAUUCCACAGCUCAACUGUGGAACUGCCAUUGAUACUGGUUAGCUUGAGUACAGAUGAGGUAGGCGGAAUUGACAGUGUAGCGGUGAAAAUGCUUAGAUAUUGUCAAGAACACCUAUUGCGAAGGCAGCUUACUAAGCUGUAACUGACGCUGAGGCACGAAAGCGUGGGGAUCAAACAGG
rnacentral:rRNA from 1 species